rnacentral:lncRNA from 1 species
AAAAAAAAAAAUGUACAGUUUAAAAUAUUCUCUAGUUGGAAAAUUUUUGCUAUUUUCCUUUUCCAUUAAAUUCUUUGAUUAUCAUCAUCAAAUUAUAUGGUAACUAUCAAUCACUGUAAAAUAUCAUCUGUAAAAUUUAAACAUAGGUAAUGUAUUGGGUGCUCAUUGAACUUGUGCCAAAAAUUUCAUUAUUUAAAAUAAUAAUAAAAAGUCAAUAUAGUUUGUUUGGGGAAAAGAAUAGUCAAUGUGCAGAAAUUAUGUUAGACUUGUAAAUAAAUGUAUUCUGCACUUAUGCUGUGUAUAUCCUAUUUAGCCAGAUGGAUUUUGUGAUGUAGAAAGUGGAUCUUGAAUAGUCAUCUACACUUAAGCGUGCCUUGGAGACAUUCAAGCAAUGGCCGAAAUUUCUCGAAGAUGGAUAUCAUCGUUUCCGAACAAAGAACAACGAAUCGUGAAUGCAGCCGAAUCCUCGUCGAAAAAAACAGAUGUCAAUGUUUGGAUCACCUGUUUUGUAUCAAUUUGGAAUAGCAUCUUUCAGGGAAAGCCAUUAUUAUUAUUCCCCUUUGUAUAUAAUGCCAAAUUUAUUAUUUCAAAUGAGCAGCUAUGUGUGUAUUAAAUGCUGUAGUCAUUUCAAAGAAUUCUUUGACACAACAUGCAAAUCAGAUGUAGUCAAAGGACUGAACAUCCUAAAACAG